rnacentral:lncRNA from 1 species
UCUCUCGGAUUUAGCCACGCCCUUCAUUCGUUACUGUGGGGAUUUUCGGAACAGAGGUUGUGGCAGUUUCAGCAUCAAAUACCUGAGGGUCCGCAUCCCAAUCUGGAGAUAGAAUUCCCUUCAAGAGGGUCUAAAUCACCUGCACGUAUGAGCCCCCUCAAAGGAAGGACUGAAUCUCCUGCAGGUGAGAAUGACAAGAAUGAGAGGGUCCAUAGGAGGAGGGACUUAAUUUCUUCUCUGAUGAGACUGGAGCACCAGCAAGAAUUUGACUCUGUAGUCUGAGAGAUUAUUUUCAGUAUGAUGUUCUGAGUUCCCUGAAUCCACAGCUGGAACACUGAGCCACCAUCAGGAACACUGCACCUGGACCAGUUGUCUUAAGGGCAUUAAAUACGAAUUUCACUUCUUUGGCUUAUAAAACCCCACCAUGCUCUAGCUUCCUUCCAACAUCCACCCUUCAUUCCCCACCAUCUCAGCUUCUCAAUGAAUCCUUCCGCUCCUUGAUUUUCCAAGCCUACCUAUGUCUUAUGAUCACCUACACACACACACACACACACACACACACACACACACACACACACACACACACACACACACCUG